GGAGGGGUGCGAGAGCGGCCGAAUCGGCACGAUUGGAAAUCGUGUGUGGGGCAACCCACCGUGGGUUCAAAUCCCACCCUCUCCGCCA
rnacentral:tRNA from 1 species